rnacentral:rRNA from 1 species
UAGGGAAUCUUCGGCAAUGGACGGAAGUCUGACCGAGCAACGCCGCGUGAGUGAAGAAGGUUUUCGGAUCGUAAAGCUCUGUUGUAAGAGAAGAACGAGUGUGAGAGUGGAAAGUUCACACUGUGACGGUAUCUUACCAGAAAGGGACGGCUAACUACGUGCCAGCAGCCGCGGUAAUACGUAGGUCCCGAGCGUUGUCCGGAUUUAUUGGGCGUAAAGCGAGCGCAGGCGGUUAGAUAAGUCUGAAGUUAAAGGCUGUGGCUUAACCAUAGUACGCUUUGGAAACUGUUUAACUUGAGCGCAAGAGGGGAGAGUGGAAUUCCAUGUGUAGCGGUGAAAUGCGUAGAUAUAUGGAGGAACACCGGUGGCGAAAGCGGCUCUCUGGCUUGUAACUGACGCUGAGGCUCGAAAGCGUGGGGAGCAAACAGGAUUAGAUACCCUGGUAGUCCACGCCGUAAACGAUGAGUGCUAGGUGUUAGACCCUUUCCGGGGUUUAGUGUCGCAGCUAACGCAUUAANCACUCCGCCUGGGGAGUACGACCGCANGNU